GAAGAAGGGUCAAUAUGCAUCAUUGGUUGGCACUCAAAGAUUGGCAUUUGAGUGACAUUGAAUUGCUAUAUAUUGUCAAUAGUUGAACACAGAAGUGCUAAAAUUGAUAUGCCAAAUGGUUCAAUUUCACAAAUGGAAAUUGGCCUUCAAGUCACAAGAGGAGGUGUGCUGAGUUGAGGGCUUCUUCUUCUUGCUAAUUACAGGUCAUAAUAUUUUCACACACACACACACAAAAAAAAAAAAAA
rnacentral:misc_RNA from 1 species